CUAACUUCGCCCGGUCGCGGUCAAUCCCGCGACCGGGCUUGACGACCUGAACC
rnacentral:ncRNA from 1 species